rnacentral:rRNA from 1 species
GAUGAACGCUGGCGGCGUGCCUAAUACAUGCAAGUCGAGCGAACAGAUAAGGAGCUUGCUCCUUUGACGUUAGCGGCGGACGGGUGAGUAACACGUGGGUAACCUACCUAUAAGACUGGGAUAACUUCGGGAAACCGGAGCUAAUACCGGAUAACAUUUGGAACCGCAUGGUUCUAAAGUGAAAGAUGGUUUUGCUAUCACUUAUAGAUGGACCCGCGCCGUAUUAGCUAGUUGGUAAGGUAACGGCUUACCAAGGCGACGAUACGUAGCCGACCUGAGAGGGUGAUCGGCCACACUGGAACUGAGACACGGUCCAGACUCCUACGGGAGGCAGCAGCAGGGAAUCUUCCGCAAUGGGCGAAAGCCUGACGGAGCAACGCCGCGUGAGUGAUGAAGGGUUUCGGCUCGUAAAACUCUGUUAUUAGGGAAGAACAAAUGUGUAAGUAACUGUGCACGUCUUGACGGUACCUAAUCAGAAAGCCACGGCUAACUACGUG